GCGCUUGUAGCUCAGUUGGAUAGAGCAACGGACUUCGAAUCCGUGGGUCGGGCGUUCGAGUCGCUCCAGGCGCACCA
rnacentral:tRNA from 1 species